rnacentral:misc_RNA from 1 species
CCAAAUUUUAAAGGUGCCUAGUUUAACUAGGAUACCUCGGUAUUGAAAUAUAUACCACAUUUACCUUGUGUGCAAUGUAAUUGUAUUGAUGGAUUUUUCAUCUGGGUUUUUAAUUUGGAUGGAAAAUCUGUAUAAACAUUUUAAUAUUUUAAGUCUGAUAGUUUUUUUACAUAUUGAUAUUUUAUGAAAGUAAAAUAUUUAAAAUGUUAAAA